rnacentral:misc_RNA from 1 species
GGUGAGGUACCAGCACCCUAAGGGCGCCCCGGACGCCGACCUCAUCUUUGGAUCCAAAAAAAGAUGAAGGAAAGAGAAAAGAGAGCCCUUCCCAAAACAGGGCAGUAGUCAGGAAGUGAAACGCCUCGACCAGAGGCCUCGGGCAAAUUCCAAAUAAACCAGCAGGGGGACUUAACUCCUACAUUAGAUUCAAUCAGAAAUUAAUGUACAAAAUCUACGAUUGAGGGCUAGAGGUGUUAUCGCGAUGAAUCGUGUUGUGGUGGGAGGGAAAUAAUCACAGAGUCUGAUUUCUGAAUGAAUGCUUGCCAUGUGUUGUGUACAAUAUUAUAGGAUUCUCGGACUAUGUGAAUGACAAUAUAAGAUAUAUAUAAUCAUGUGUAUGUGUCUGUGUGUUACAGCUUCUCUGGCCUCCAAAAGAUUCCUAAGGUGUAUAAUCGAAGAAAUAUUAUUUACAUGAUGAAUUUCUCUGAUUGUACUUUGGAAGAUAAAAACAAGUUUACUUUACAGUGAACUGUACAUCCUACAAGUAGCUAAAUUAAUAUGGAUUACCGGUAGUUCAUUAAUGACACACAUUUGUAUCAAAUAUGGAUGGCGGUUUUGUUGUUGAGUAUGUACGGUACAUAUUUUUCGCUGCUUUGUUUUCAUUGUGUAAAUGCAAUUACGAAGAAGUUGACAUGUUUCCUUGGUGGUAGAAUUGCGUGGCAUCUGAUGUAUUGGAAAAGUUUGAAUACAUGUAUAGACUUGCUGAGCAGGUACCAGUUACUGGCAGAUGUAUUGGUUAUUCUGAUUUACCACUCAAAAGGUUGUUUUUGUUGCUUCAUGAAUGGAGAGAAAAACUAUACUCUCUUCAUUAACUGUUACAAUGGGUGAAAUAAAAAAAGCUCAUAAAUGUC